UUGCGUUAUAUUGUGUGUGUAAGAAACGUCAGUGGUGUAACAAAAUAAACGUCAACGCUUUUUUAAGGCAACGGAGUCGACAUAAAAAAUGCCACAAAUUUGUUGUUCAAAUCUGUGAUCCGAACGUUUCUCAAUUUGACAUCGAUCUCGGCACGUAAAUCCGAGUGAACAGUGCAACUAGUGACAACUCCUAUCGGAGGAGACGACCAAUUCAUCCCACCUGAGUCCAGCUGACAGAUUCCUGACUCUUGGGCAAAGCGAAUCAAUCACUCAUCUCGACAUUCUACUAUAAACAAUAAGUAAGAAAGAGAUUUCUUAAAAACAUGUCACAACUAGAAGCUUGGAUACGAUUUGUAAAUAAAAUAAAUUGGGAACCUUCAAAAUCUAGCAGAAUUUGUUCUCAACACUUUAGUGAUAAUUGUUUUCUUAAAUCUGGAAUAGAAACUAUAUUAAGGCCAAUUCCAUCUAUACAUGUUGAGAGAUUAAAAUAUGUAAGAAAUUUUAAUCUUGUUAUGCAAAACGUUACCAAUUCUACUAUGUGCAAAUUUCCAGAAGUACGUGACUCAACAACAAAGUAUUUUAAAUCCAUCAACAUACGAUACACCAACAAAAAGGAAUUUGAAGACUCAACUUUUAAAAGAGCGUAGUAUAAAAAAACUUCAAGCAAAACGCGUAAAAAUUUUGAUGCAACAGAACAGACGAUGCAAAAAAGAUUGAAGGAUUUAGUAACUUUGUUAAAAGAUAUGAAAAAUCGAGAAAUGAUUAACAAUGAAAUGGAACAGCUAUUAUACGUCGCUGAGUGCUGAUCGUGGAUGUCCAUGUUGCACAAGUCGUCCCGACCAACACUUUACAAGAGUGAAAACGCGACUGAGAAACAAACGUGUGUAUAAAAAUAGAAGUCAAAUCUACAAAUAACAUAACACUUUAUGAAGUCUUAUCGACAAACGGUAAAUAUGAAUUAUCUAAAUUUUCCGUGUCACACUGUAGAUUAAGUCCGCAGACUUGACUUCUUAUAUGUAGCAUUUCUGAUACCAGUCUUUUGCUGUAAGAUCUCUCAUAAUCCAAUAUUUCUACUCUAUCCCACUCAAAUUCAUUUUGUCCUACAUACGAAGCUUCACAAUCACGACACUUGAUCUUAUAUACUACGGAAGGAUGUGAGAGAAGGGGCAAAGGAUCCUUAAGAACUUUGAUAAAUUUAGUCAAUUUGUCGAGGUUAUAAUAAGCUAAACGCGUAUAUGAGUCAGAAGGAAAUAAUUUUGAAAAUCUCUCCAAAAAUUUAUUAAUUCUAAGGAUGAAAUUAUCAUAAAUGAAGUCCAUCGGAUAGUUGUAGUCAAUUAAUAAAUUAAAAAUAAAGUCAAAAUUUUUGGAAUGGAAUCUAGGAUGUGAUAAAAAGAAGGCUCUGUCCACGAGGCUGAUGAUCGUGCCUCUUUUUUGGCAAAUAGGAUGGUUGGAAAAAUAGUUCAGGAACCAUGAGAGCUAUGUCAUCGACGUAUCUGACAUGUAAAGGUAGACGAAAAGAGAGAGAUCCAAAAAUGGAUGUUUCAAGAUCCUGCAUUACAAUGUCUGCAAGGAUCGGAGAGAGUGGAGAGCCCAUAGGAGCACCAAAGGUCUGUUUGUAAUAUUUGUUAUUAAACAGGAAAAAAGUAGAGUUGAACACCAGAUUGAUUGCUAGAAAAAAUUCUUCUUUAGGUAAACUAGUAUUCUUCUUCAGGUAAACUAUUAUGUGUUAUUAAAUGCCAUCUCUUUUCCAAACCACUAAUUACAAGUUCAAUAAGAAUGUUAGUAAAAAGAGAAACCACGUCGAGUGAAAUAAGCUCAAAAUUUUCAGCAAAAGUUACGUUCGAGAUUAUACUAGCAAGGUGGAAGCUAUUAUAAACAAAACUCGACGGGAGUUGAAGAUUUUUUGAAAUUAGAAGAAGAUUUUGUGUUCAUUAGUGUUUGAUGAAAUAAGUUUAUGUAAGAAAUCCGCCUUGCGGCACCACGUUACGAGUAACAGCGUCUAUCACGCAGUGCGACGAAAAUAACACGUGAUGGAACACGCAUUGUACACGCAAAAAUACCGGCGAAACCGAUCCUGCCGCCGAAAAGCAUGGAAAGAAGCGAGGCACUCUCGUUCGGAACUGCGUUGAGUUUAGACGUAGGGAGUGUCAAGUCGAAUCUUUGGCGUGUCGUUAACCGAUUAGUAUAAUUACUCGGAGUGUUACUUAUGUAGAAUAUCCGAGUCGCGUCGGAUUCAUACUGAUGUAUAGUGGUUUAUUAAAUAAAGGAUAUUCUUGUGAA